GAACAAAAGAGUUUGAUCCUGGCUCAGAAUGAACGCUAGCGAUAUGCUUAACACAUGCAAGUCGAACGGAUGAAUAAUCCGUGGCGAACGGGUGCGUAAUACACAAGAAUUUACCUAUAAGUCGAGGAUAAGUAUACUAAGGGAAACUUUGGGAAUAUUUCUGUAUGGAAAUAGUACGAAUACUGGAUGUUUCAAAGACAAUUUAUGUCGCUUAUAGAUGAGCUUGUGGAGGAAUAGGUAGUUGGUGAGGUAAUGGCUCACCAAGCCAAUGAUCCUUAGCUGAUUUGAGAGAAUGAUCAGCCACACUGGGACUGAGAUACGGCCCAGACUCCUACGGGAGGCAGCAGUGAGGAAUUUUGGACAAUGGGCGAAAGCCUGAUCCAGCAAUAUCGCGUGGGUGAUGAAGGCUCUAUUAGUUGUAAAACCCUUUUAUCAGAGAAGAUGAUGACAUUAUCUGAAGAAAAAGCUCCGGCCAACUCCGUGCCAGCAGCCGCGGUAAUACGGGGGGAGCUAGUGUUAUUCAUAAUUACUAGGCGUAAAGAGCACGUAGGUUGUUAAUUAAGUUAAAAGUGAAAUCCCUAAGCCUAACUUAGGAAGUGCUUUUAAUACUGAUUGACUAGAGUUAGAUAGAGGAUAGUGGAAUUUCUAGUGGAAGGAUAAAAUCUGUAGAUAUUAGAAGGAACACCUAAAGCGAAGGCAUCUAUCUGGAUCUUAACUGACACUGAGGUGCGAAAGCAUGGGGAGCAAACAGGAUUAGAUACCCUGGUAGUCCAUGCUGUAAACGAUGAGUGUUAAAUGUUGGGUUAUUUUAACUCAGUGUUACAGCUAACGCGUUAAACACUCCGCCUGGGAAGUAUAAUCGCAAGAUUGAAACUCAAAGGAAUUGACGGGGGCCCGUACAAGCGGUGGAGCAUGUGGUUUAAUUCGAAACAACGCGCAGAACCUUACCAGCUCUUGACAUUCUAUAUGGACUGUGAAAGCAGUUCUUUUCAAAAUAGAAUACAGGUGUUGCAUGGCUGUCGUCAGCUCGUGUCGUGAGAUGUUGGGUUAAGUCCUAUAACGAGCGCAACCCUUAUUCUUAGUUGCUAAUUAACAGAUAAUGUUAAAGAACUCUAAGAAAACUGCCUGUGAUAAGCAGGAGGAAGGUGGGGAUGACGUCAAGUCCUCAUGACCCUUAUGGGCUGGGCUACACAUGUGCUACAAUGGCAUUUACAGUGAGACGCAAGAACGAAAGUUGGAGCAAAUCUUGAAAGAAUGCCUCAGUUCGGAUUGUUCUCUGCAACUCGAGAACAUGAAGUCGGAAUCGCUAGUAAUCGAGGAUCAGCACGCCUCGGUGAAUACGUUCCCGGGCCUUGUACACACCGCCCGUCACACCCUGGGAAUUGAUUUUACCCGAAGUUUUUAAGAUAACUUUAGAAUGCAUUUAGAUAUUAUUUAUUAUCUAAUCUCACUAUUGAGUCUUGAAAUUACGGUAACAUCAGUGACUAUGGUGAAGUCGUAACAAGGUAGCCGUAGGGGAACCUGUGGCUGGAUUAACUCCUUU
rnacentral:rRNA from 1 species